rnacentral:rRNA from 1 species
UAAGGAAUAUUGGACAAUGGGCGGAAGCCUGAUCCAGCCAUCCCGCGUGCAGGAUGAAGGCCCUAGUGGUUGUAAACUGCUUUUAUUUGGGAAGAAAUCUGUGCUUUUAAGUGCAGUUGACGGUACCAAAGGAAUAAGCACCGGCUAACUCCGUGCCAGCAGCCGCGGUAAUACGGAGGGUGCAAGCGUUAUCCGGAAUCACUGGGUUUAAAGGGUGCGUAGGCGGCCUGCCAAGUCAGGGGUGAAAUGU